UACGUAGGGUGCAAGCGUUUGUCCGGAAUUAUUGGGCGAAAGAGCUCGUAGGCGGUCUGUUGCGUCGGCUGUGAAAACCCGGGGCUCAACUCCGGGCCUGCAGCCGAUACGGGCAGACUAGAGUUCGGCAGGGGAGACUGGAAUUCCUGGUGUAGCGGUGAAAUGCGCAGAUAUCAGGAGGAACACCGGUGGCGAAGGCGGGUCUCUGGGCCGAUACUGACGCUGAGGAGCGAAAGCGUGGGGAGCAAACGGG
rnacentral:rRNA from 1 species